UCGUCUGCAUCUACGUGGUUCUCAACCAUCGUCAGGAAUGUAUCCUCUCGGUUGAUCCCAUGGGACUCGAUAGGAGGUCCUUCUGACUAACGUCGAUCCAUUCGUUGAUUUAUUUGUCGAUCCUUUCGUCGAUAUCGAGAACGCGAUUGGUAGAGUAGCGCCUCGUGGCGCGUUAGAACGCCAGACAAAGUCGAUCGAAGGUGGUCGUGCGGCGAAGAACGUGCGCGGAGCAGGAGGGCGUUGAGGAACGCCACUGGCCACGUGACCCGCUAGCAGAAUCCGCGGCGUCCGCCGAAAAUCUAAAUCCGUCCGAGCCGAGAAGAAGAGGCACCCGCCGCCGGCCUCCGGGGACUCGUCGCCCGAGACCGUAAACGCGAUAGUCAAUAAUUGCCUUUAGGGUGCACCGGAUCGGCGAGCGGCAGGAGAUCGAGCGCGAUCAUCGUCCGCGUGUGCAUCAACGACUCGUCGGAAAACGUAGCUCGUCUCCUCGGUGGCUUCGAACCAGGGGAGGGUAGCCAAGGCAUUGGAAGAAUGAUACGCGUCGACGAGACUGACCCGGUGGGCGAAGUCGAGCCGAGUUUUCCCUAUCGAGAUGUGCUGGUACGUCGAGGUGUGGAAUUCAAGGAUCAUUACGACAUUCAAUCGGAGAUCGGACGAGGAAAAUUUGGCACCGUUUAUCGAUGUAAAGAGAAAGUAAGUGGUUUGAUGCUCGCCGCAAAGGUGGUGAGCACUGCGAAAAAGGAGGACAGACGAGCUGUGGAGCGAGAAGUCGAAAUUAUGAGACGACUGCAGCAUCCACGACUUAUUCAGCUCUAUGAUGCCAUAGACACGGGCAAACAAGUAUACGUAAUUUUGGAACUGAUCGAAGGUGGCGAACUAUUUGAGAGGGUGAUCGAUGACGACUUUGUAUUAACAGAACGUAGUUGCGCCGUUUUCAUGCGACAAAUCUGUGAGGGUAUAGAAUUUAUUCACCGACAGAAUAUUUUACAUUUGGAUUUAAAGCCUGAAAACAUAUUGUGUUUGACGAAAGAAGGUAACAGGAUUAAAAUCAUAGACUUCGGCUUGGCGAGGGAGUACGAUCCAAAGAAGAAGCUGCAAGUUCUAUUUGGUACGCCAGAGUUCGUUGCACCGGAAGUCGUAAAUUUCGAUCAGAUUGGUUAUGGUACCGACAUGUGGAGUAUAGGCGUCAUCUGUUACGUAUUAUUAUCCGGUUUAUCACCGUUCAUGGGGGAUACAGAUAUUGAGACUAUGGCUAAUGUGACCAUCGCGAAGUAUGAUUUUGAUCAUGACGCGUUUGCCAACAUCUCGGAAGACGCAAAAGACUUUAUUCGGUGCCUGCUAGUCAAAGACAAAGAUAAUCGUAUGACGGCCGUCCAGUGCAGAGAGCAUCCCUGGUUGGCCAAAAAGCCAAGCACACAGCAGCAGACCGAAGAAACGGUGACAAUUUCAAAACCGACAGCAUCUGGGAAAAACCUGCGGAUCCCUCGAGUGCAGACGAGCAACGUAGACGAGCUAGACGUGACCAAGGACAACCUGAGGCUGUUCGUCGAGCGCUGGCGAGAGCACCCAGACAGUCCAUACCUGAUCGAUUUUCCUCAGUACACAUUGCCCUCGCAGAACUCGACUCGCGAUCACGAGGAAUUAGUCUCUUUGGAGGGCCACAGCCCAUCUCCUUGCGCUAGUAUUUGCAGCACAUUGUCGGAAGCGACGGACAGCUCUCCCCAAGAGAGCCACGGCUCGUUCCUGACAGUACCUACCUUCGGAUUUGGUCUCGAAAGGAGAGCUUCUGAGGGUGUCGCCACAGAGAAGUCAAGGAGCGAUCCCGCCAGCCAGAUCGUUCUCGCUGAAGAAAUAAUUAAAUUGUCAGAACGUUUGCGAUCUAUAGCCAUGGGGACGUGUAUGAAGUCAAACGAGGAGGAGACCUCCUCGGAGAGUAGUCACCAGAGCAAAAGGACGGAGAAACUUGAGGACAAGGAUAAUAGAAACGGUGUUCGUUCGAGGAGUAACGGAUUGGUUGCUGAGAAUACCGGGUGCAAUGAGAUUACAGAAAAAUUGUCGAGUAUAGUACGGCACAGGAAACUAAAUGGAACGACUUUUCAUAGCAGUCGUAGUUUUGAUAAGUAUUCCGAGCCGAACACUGGAAAUGUUUUUGCCUCUUUAAAAAAAAUGAAGCAGAAGAAAGAGGAAGAUAGAAAUCAGGAGGAAUCUACUGGUUCUAUUAGAUCAGAAUCUUUAGUAGGAAAAGUAGAUAAUUUGACGAGUGACGAUAACGUGAGAAUAUCUAGCAGGAACGAGGUUGAGAUGGAUCUGACACCACCAUGGCGACGUCCACGAGUGAAACAGUUUGGUGAGACUAGUAGGGAUGUUCCACGAAUUUCUGGACUUCGUAACUUGCACAAAAGUCUGAACCUUGAUGAACCUACUAGCACUAAGAAUUUGUUGCUUCAUCUGCUUGGUGAGUGGGAAGAGGUUGCCACGAGGCCAUCCGGUGUUGGCCGGAAGUCUGUAAGCGUCGACUGGUGCGGUGAAGAAUCUGUAGCCAGAAAGACGAUGAACUCUUUGGCUGAGUAUUUCCAAUCUAAGCAACAAAAGUCGACAGCUUCCAACGUUAGUUCGUCAGAAUCGAGUUCGAUACAUCGUUGAAGCAAUUUGUUAACUGGGUUAAGGACUAUGUCGUUUUGUCUGUCGUCACGACAGCGAGCGUGAUUGUUCAUCGUUGUGAAGUUCUCAGGGCAAUGGAAGAAACGAAAAUAGUGGAAAAGACCAUCCGCAGGUCAACUCUUAGAACACCAUUGGCUAGAAGUGGCUCUGGAGAACCCG
rnacentral:misc_RNA from 1 species